rnacentral:rRNA from 1 species
UACGUAGGCGGUUUUGAAAGUUAGGUGUUAAAUCCAUGAGCUCAACUCAUGUUCGCAUCUAAAACUUCAGAACUUGAGGACAGGAGAGGAAAGCGGAACUCACAGUGUAGCGGUGAAAUGCGUAGAUAUUGUGAGGAACACCGGUGGCGAAGGCGGCUUUCUGGACUGUAUCUGACGCUGAGGUACGAAAGCGUGGGGAGCAAACAGGAUUAGAUACCCUGGUAGUCC